ACGCUCGACACCUACGGGAAGCAGCAGUGGGGAAUAUUGCACAAUGGGGGAAACCCUGAUGCAGCGACGCCGCGUGAAGGAAGAAGUAUCUCGGUAUGUAAACUUCUAUCAGCAGGGAAGAAAGUGACGGUACCUGACUAAGAAGCCCCGGCUAACUACGUGCCAGCAGCCGNGGUAAUCUGAGCGGGCUGGCAAGGC
rnacentral:rRNA from 1 species